UACAGAGGUCUCAAGCGUUGUUCGGAUUCAUUGGGCGUAAAGGGUGUGUAGGUGGCGCCGUAAGUCGGGUGUGAAAUUUCGGAGCUUAACUCCGAAACUGCAUUCGAUACUGCGGUGCUUGAGGACUGGAGAGGAGACUGGAAUUUACGGUGUAGCGGUGAAAUGCGUAGAUAUCGUAAGGAAGACCAGUGGCAAAGGCGGG
rnacentral:rRNA from 1 species